rnacentral:snRNA from 1 species
CUAAAACACAGAGAAGACUAGUUUGGCCCCCUGCACAAGGAUGACAUCUAAAUUCAUGAAGCAGUUCAUAUUUUG